rnacentral:rRNA from 1 species
AGUGAACGCUGGCGGUAGGCCUAACACAUGCAAGUCGAACGGCAGCACAGUAAGAGCUUGCUCUUACGGGUGGCGAGUGGCGGACGGGUGAGGAAUACAUCGGAAUCUACUUUUUCGUGGGGGAUAACGUAGGGAAACUUACGCUAAUACCGCAUACGACCUACGGGUGAAAGCAGGGGAUCUUCGGACCUUGCGCGAUUGAAUGAGCCGAUGUCGGAUUAGCUAGUUGGCGGGGUAAAGGCCCACCAAGGCGACGAUCCGUAGCUGGUCUGAGAGGAUGGUCAGCCACCCUGGAACUGGGACAGCGUCCAGACUCCUGCGGGAGGCCGCAGUGGGGAAUAUUGGACAAUGGGCGCAAACCUGAUCCAGCCAUACCGCGUGGGUGAAGAAGGCCUUCGGGUUGUAAAGCCCUUUUGUUGGGAAAGAAAAGCAGCAGGUUAAUACCCCGCUGUUCUGACGGUACCCAAAGAAUAAGCACCGGCUAACUUCGUG